rnacentral:rRNA from 1 species
AUUGAACGCUGGCGGCAGGCCUAACACAUGCAAGUCGAACGAGUGGCGGACGGGUGAGUAAUGUCUGGGAAACUGCCUGAUGGAGGGGGAUAACUACUGGAAACGGUAGCUAAUACCGCAUACCAUCGGAUGUGCCCAGAUGGGAUUAGCUAGUAGGUGGGGUAACGGCUCACCUAGGCGACGAUCCCUAGCUGGUCUGAGAGGAUGACAAGCCACACUGGAACUGAGGCACGGUCCAGACUCCUACGUGAGGCAGCAGUGGGGAAUAUUGCAAAAUGGGCGCAAGCCGGAUGCAGCCAUGCCGCGUGUAUGAAGAGGGCCGUCGGGUUUUAAGGUACUUUCAGCGGGGAGGCGUUACCCGCAGAAGAAGCACCGGCUAACUCCGUGCCAGCAGCCGCGGUAAUUC